rnacentral:rRNA from 1 species
CGCGAAUAGCUCAUUACAACAGCUAUAAUCUACUUGUUCUAUGACUUAAAUGGAUAACUGCGGUAAUUCUGGAGCCAAUACAUGCGAACAGCUGCGGCCUUCGGGUUGCAGUGCUAUUAUUGGAGCAAAACUAUUCGUUAGUCCUUUUGCUAACUCUGGAUAAUACUGCGUAUCGCACGAUCUUGUGUCGGCGAAGUUUCAUUCGAGUAUCUGCCCUAUCAACUGGUUGGCAGUGUAUUGGACUGCCAUGGUUCUAACGGGUAACGGAGAAUCAGGGUUUGACUCCGGAGAAUCCGCCUUAAAAACGGCGAAUAUGUCUAAGGAUAGCAGCAGGCGCGAAAAUUACCCAAUAUCAAUACGAUGAGGUAGUGACGAGAAAUAACGAGUCCGUUCUCUCUGAGGUCGGACAUUGGAAUGGGUACAAUGUAGACAAUUUAACGAGUAUCUACGAGAGGGCAAGUCUGGUGCCAGCAGCCGCGGUAAUUCCAGCUCUCGUAAUACAUAGAAUUAUUGUUGCGGUUAAAAAGUUCAUAGUUGGAUUGUUGAACCGUUCGGGGUGCGUCUUAACGGGCGUCACUCGUGGGCGGUAUUUUGCGCGUUUUCGGGCCUUCGGGUCGGUGAUGCGCAGGAUUACUUUGAACGGCUUAAGUGCUCAAGGCGGGUCUUACGACUGAAUACCGGUGCAUGGAAUAAUGGAACAAGGUUGCGGCCGAGUUUUAUUGGUUUUGUCGGCUGAAACAAUGGUUAACAGGAACAGCCGGGGGCAUUCGUAUCGCUGCGCGAGAGGUGAAAUUCGAGGACCGUAGCGAGACGCACUAAAGCGAAGGCAUUUGCCAAGAGUGUUUUCAUUAAUCAAGAACGAAAGUCAGAGGUUCGAAGGCGAUCAGAUACCGCCCA